UACGGGGGGUGCAACCGUUGCUCGGAAUUAUUGGGCGUAAAGCGCACGUAGGCGGUCUUGUAAGUCGGGUGUGAAAGCCCGGGGCUUAACCCCGGAAGUGCACUCGAAACUGUAAGGCUUGAGUAUGGAAGAGGGUCUCGGAAUUCCCGGUGUAGAGGUGAAAUUCGUAGAUAUCGGGAGGAACACCAGUGGCGAAGGCGGAGACCUGGGCCAAUACUGACGCUGAGGUGCGAAAGCGUGGGGAGCAAACAGG
rnacentral:rRNA from 1 species